UCUUCUUCUUAAUGCAAGUCUACUGCUAUAAACUUCCCUCUUAGUAUUGUGUUCUGCAUCUCCUGUAAGUUUUAGUAUGUUUUUAUUUUCACUUGUUUCCAGAAAUUUUCUAAAUUUCCUUGUGAUUUCUUCUUUGACCCAUUGGCUGUUCAAGAGUGAGUUUUUCUCAUUUCAAGAGUGACUUUUUUUAAUUUUUUUUUUUAACAGUGACUUUUUAAAGUAGCAAAUUAUCGCAGCACCUGACUGACUCAGCCGGUAGAGCGUGUGACUCGCGGCUCUUGAUCUUGGGGUUAUGAGUUUGAGCCUCGUGUUGAGUGUAGAGAUGACUCAAACAAAUAAAUCUUAAAAAAAAAAAAGUAGCAAAUUAUUAUUGGAAAGAUGAGACUCUUUCCCUUUAUUCUUGGAUAAAAUAGAAUUCUAUCAUUUAUGUCUCUUAUAUUUUGGAAUUUAAAUAAAAUAAAAACGUCUUUCAGAGCACAAAGGUAAAAGUCAAAGUCGCAAUGCAAAUAUAAUUUCUAGCUUUCGGUUCAUUCUGUGGGAGCUUGAGUCCAACAUUCUUGCUCUUUGAUUUUAUAGAAGGUCUCUAUGUUGAGUCCAAAAUAACUUUGACGUAGUGUCAUGGUGCCCUUCACUUCAUAGAAUAUUUAUGGUUUUCU